rnacentral:tRNA from 1 species
GGCUCCAUAGCAUAGUGGUAUUGCGUGAGACUCCAGAUCUCAAGGUCCAAGGUUCGAAUCCUUGUGGGGUCA